GACGUAGGAGGCGAGGCGUUGUCCGGAUUCAUUGGGCGUAAAGAGCACGCAGGCGGUUUGGCAAGUCGGAUGUGAAACCCGAGGCUCAACCUCGGGACGUCGGCGGAAACCAUCUGGCUAGAGUCCGGAAGAGGAGAGUGGAAUUCCCGGUGUAGCGGUGAAAUGCGCAGAUAUCGGGAAGAACACCCGUGGCGAAGGCGGCUCUCUGGGACGGUACUGGACGCUGAGACGCGAAAGCGUGGGGAGCGA
rnacentral:rRNA from 1 species